rnacentral:pre_miRNA from 1 species
UUUUAAAAAUUUCAUCCAUUUUUAUUAAUAAAAACUAACGUAGUUGACAGAAUAACUAAGCAACCCACGUGUACCACAUUUUGUUGUAUAGGGACCAAUUUUUAAUCCUGAAAGUGGAUGGAAUUUUUAACA